UGAGAGUUAUGAAAGAUAAGGAUUUUAGAAUUCUGUUCGCAAUAUUUUUAAUUCUUGUUAAAAUGGUAUCUUUAUCGGCAGCAAUUCAGUCUUUUUUUCUGAAUAAAGAUUAUAACCUAAGGAGCACAUCAUGUGUUGACUGUGGAACUAUUGAGUGUGUACAUGCAAAGGUUGAAUAUAAAGUAUCCAGGGAGCUAACUGUGUGCUAUCGACACAACCCUGAGGG